UGAGGAGCUCAUUUUGGAGGCUGGCAGAGUGAAGAGCCUUUCCAGAGGAGGAGGUAGCUGUGGGGAGAGGAGCGGCUUGGGACCAGGGGUGGUAAUUGUAAGUUCUGUGGAAUAGAAAACAUUUUUCCUGUAUUUGCUCUCAAAAUGGAACUGCCGUCAGCUCAAAUAUUUUUGUGAUGCUUCUGUAAAUAAGGUUCACAGAGCACAAGAGCAUCUUGAAAGCAGAUGAUGUCAUGUGCAGGAGUCAUGGGCCUCCUGGGGUUUGAUUACAGAAUGCUGAAUAAUUGGGCAGUCAAGCUGGAAUAGAGAACCCAAAUCUGAUAUAAAUCUUGAUACAUUGGUAGGGGAAAGAUGUUUGGAGCUGCUG